AUUGAACGCUGGCGGCAUGCCUUACACAUGCAAGUCGAACGGCAGCACGGGAGCAAUCCUGGUGGCGAGUGGCGAACGGGUGAGUAAUAUAUCGGAACGUGCCCAGUCGUGGGGAUAACGUAGCGAAAGCUACGCUAAUACCGCAUACGAUCUAUGGAUGAAAGCGGGGGAUCGCAAGACCUCGCGCGAUUGGAGCGGCCGAUAUCAGAUUAGGUAGUUGGUGAGGUAAAGGCUCACCAAGCCGACGAUCUGUAGCUGGUCUGAGAGGACGACCAGCCACACUGGGACUGAGACACGGCCCAGACCUCCUACGGAGGCAGCAGUGGGGAAUUUUUGGACAAUGGGCGCAAGCCUGAUCCAGCAAUGCCGCGUGCAGGAUGAAGGCCUU
rnacentral:rRNA from 1 species